rnacentral:rRNA from 1 species
CAGCAGAGCAGAGAUAAGGUACCUAGUCUGGACAAGAACCCAAACGAGUGCAAUGGUGUGGUACUGUACUGUCGUCGCUUUCGAUAGUUAUGUUUAAAAAUCGGCCGUCCUGUCGAACUCUCAGAGGCACCUGAUCUUGAGAGGCGACGGAUUCGUUGGCCCGCUACACGUUUUGUUCUUCGGUGGUUAAUAAGGUUCCGCGGGUGCUCAAAAUCAUUAUGGGCUAUCUCAACGCAACCGUAGUUUGUAUAGAGAAGAGGCGGGCGGAGAGGACGGCCGGGGGGAGACUAAGAAGAAGAACGAGGGGUGGACGAAACCAAACGAAGGCACCGUAGGUUUAGUAGGUACGCGCGAUUAAGGAGCCCACAAGAACUUCUUCGAGGUAGAGAGAAUAUCGACGACAACAACCAGCUCCUCUAUCCUUUAGAGUCCUCUUUCUGUACCGCCUCCUUGGGCCACGUUGAAGAUCUAUGAUAACGGUGUACACGAGCCACUAGCAUUCCGGUCUCGACCCGCAGCUCCUCCACUUCACGGGCGUGACGGCAAGGCCUAAGCACCUCCUCUACCGGCUACCGGCCGCCUCGUCGUUGCGGCACCCGCUGGCACCAGGACGGUGUCCCCGGCCGGGUCUGCUGCGCCCGCGUUCCAGCCUCGAGCGCCAAGGCGUCACCGGCGGAUAGGACUACCUGGAGGAGCCGCAGAGGAUGCCCGAGCUGCCGCCGCUGGAGCGCUGGAACCGCGCUUCUGUCAUGGCGGUGGAGCGGAAGAACGUCGACGAGUUGCGCGAGGUCCUUCCGCUACGGCUACGGCUGCCGCUGCGCGGGCUGGGCCCCGAGCUCGCCGAGCACGACCAAUCGGGGCGGCUGCGCGUACGGUACGAGCACGGUCUCCCUCCUCGGUCGUUAUCGCGGCCCCGGCCGUCCCCCCGUCCGGACUGCGAACCGCUCAACUAAGAACCGGGGCCCGACCUGAACGACGACCUCAUGGACCGGCUCUGGCUAGGCUCGGCCGUUCCGUGCGACGGCCGCUUCUACCUCCGGCAACGGCGUAACGGUUGCCAUUUCCAUUCGCUCCGGCGCUGGACGGGCCACACGGACCUGCUGAAGCGCCGACCGCCGCUCCGGUUCCUCUACGGCACGUUCGUGGCGAAGGUGCUGCACACGGACGACGGCACCGACCUCCGCUUGUCGAGGACGGGGCAGACGUCCAUGGUCGACGGGUGCCUGCUCCGGUGCCUCGGCCGGCCGUUACCGCGGCUCCUUUGGCGGCUGCUUAGGUCACCGUUACGUGCGGCGCUGCAGCUCCCGCUAUCGCUGCCACCUUCGUCACCGUCCGCCGCCACCGAGCGUGCUGGAAAACGAGCAAACAAGAGCGCGUCUAGCUUACCUUCGAGGAGCAGCAGCGCUACUUUGAUUGUUAUUACCCUUAGACAAAUUAAACAAAAUCGACAGAUGUCAGAUCGUAGAACAUUUCGACCUAAACAAGUAACCAACUUGGCAUUAUGUGAUCGAGUAAGCAGAGAUACAGACACGAGUCCUGUCUUAACGUUCUACGUCAUUAUGAUCACAAUCCAUGGGUCAUGAUGAGAGAGUAUCUACUCAGUUAACGUUCUUUGGUGGUGUAAAUGCUGAUCCAAACGUCCUUUAGUGAUUGAGCAAUUAGGCAACGUCUUUUGUGGCUUUUUUAACAAUUCAGCAACGUUUUUCGUGACUAGUCUACUAAACCGGGUAAAUUAGUGAAAGAAUAUUUACCCCGGUCUAACAUUCCUUAACUAAAUCGUUUUUUUUGUGUAUGUGGGGAUCUAAUUUUUUUGUUUUCGUUAGUCUAGGAGGGGCACCUUGUGGCGAGAAGGCGGCUCCACGGAGACGUACGAGCGCUACGAAGACGCGCGCCGCGGCCCGUCACCGCGCAGGGACGCCUGUCCUACUGCGAGUUCGACCGGGGCACGCGCCGCCGCUGCGUCUUGGGGUCCGGUUCCACUGCGGGCCGACGACGCGCGUCUAUGCCUCGUAGCCCGCGUCGGGGUUCACGGACACGCGGCAGUACGGCAGGUCGUGGCGCGCGGUCCGACCGCAGUUCGUGCGGUAGCGGUACUGGUAGGGGUUCGCAACACGGUAGCGGUUGGCGGGGUAGCCGAUGUUUAUGCCGGCAUUCAAAUAAUCAAGACUUGAAGACUACGAGCCAGCAAAGGAGACAUCGUUGAGACAGGGAACCUCGGUAGCAGUAAACGAAACGAGACGAAAACAACACGUCGUAUGUGGGACGGUACUCCUCGUCUCCGUGGUAGGCGGCGACGCGACGAAUGGUUGGAGAAGAGACUUCAGGGUCGUCGUCGCCACCACGAGAAGAAGAAGAAGAAUGACGGCACCGGCACGAGGACGAACCUCAUCGGCCUCUUACGGCUCAGAAACCACGACGAUCAUGAGCACGAACCGGAACCGCCGAACCUCCACCUCCCCGCCACUCCCAGCGCCUCCGCGCUGCUCACCGCCAGCUACCGGGCCGGCGACGACGACAGCUGCGGCAACGACCACCACCAACUCCGCUACUACCUCGUCUCGCCGCCGUCGCGCAUCUCACCUAACGCGCAGCCACAACGUGCCCUCCCAGACUAACGAAAAAAAAUCUAGAUCCCCAGAUAUACAAUAAAAAAACGAUUCAGUUAAGGAAUGUUAGACUGGGGUGAACGUUCUUUCACUAAUUUG